UACGUAGGGGGCAAGCGUUGUCCGGAUUUAUUGGGCGUAAAGAGCGUGUAGGCGGCCAGGUAGGUCAGCUGUGAAAACUCAAGGCUCAACCUCGAGAUGUCGGCUGAAACCAUCUGGCUAGAGUCCGGAAGAGGAGAAUGGAAUUCCCGGUGUAGCGGUGAAAUGCGCAGAUAUCGGGAAGAACACCCGUGGCGAAGGCGGUUCUCUGGGCCGAUACUGACGCUGAGGAGCGAAAGCGUGGGGAGCGAACAGG
rnacentral:rRNA from 1 species